UACGAAGGGGGCUAGCGUUGUCCGGAAUCAUUGGGCGUAAAGAGCGUGUAGGCGGCUUGGUAAGUCCGCUGUGAAAGUCCAGGGCUCAACCCUGGAAAGCCGGUGGAAACUGUCAAGCUUGAGUCCGGAAGAGGCGAGUGGAAUUCCUGGUGUAGCGGUGAAAUGCGCAGAUAUCAGGAGGAACACCAAUGGCGAAGGCAGCUCGCUGGGACGGUACUGACGCUGGGACGCGAAAGCGUGGGGAGCAAACAGG
rnacentral:rRNA from 1 species